GUGCUCACCAAAGGAUGUAGGAGGCUUGGCUUUACCAGAUGUUAAAUUUAUCAUUUGAAAUGGCUGAAUUGGCAAAGCAUUGGGGCAAAAGGGAUGCUGGCUUGGAUUGGAUAACAAUAGAAUGGGAACCAAAUGAUCCUUUCACCCCUGUUGAUACUCUGUUACAUAGUCUUACAGGGGAGAGGUCUGUUGAUACUCUGUUACAUAGUCUAACAGGGGAGAGGUCUGUCUCAUAGUCUUACAGGGGAGAGGUCUGUUGAUAAUCUGUCUCAUAGUCUAACAGGGGAGAGGUCUGUUGAAACUCCCAACCCAAUUUUGUUACACUCAGGAGGUGUGGAGAACAGUACACAAGAUAUGUGGAAUUUCACAUCUAAAACAAGGAUACUCAUCAUGUGGCACAAUCCUAGUCCACGGAUAGGAAAGAAGUCUGUGUACUGGAAACAGUGGCUAAUGAAAGGAAUUCAUACUAUAGGUGAUCUGUACAAUCAAGAUGUUUUAAUGUCAUACUCAGAUCUGGUACAAAAAAUAUGGUGUGGGAGACAAGGGACAUUUCUGGAAAUAUUUAGAAUUAAGAGAAUGUUUGUUAACUGGCUGUCCACAACAUCCAGGAAAGAUCCCAGUAGCAGAGUAUUUGGAAUUACCCAAACGUAAAGCAGCCAUUUUCUACUCAAUAUUUAGUCAUCUGCAGAGUAAAGACUGUAAAAACCUCUGAACAAUAUGGCAAAAUGACCUUAAGUGUGAAAUUGAGGAUGAUACCUGGUUGAAGAUCUUGUCCAGCUCAGGGAGGAACAUAAGGGAAGCCAGGGGGAAACUUACUCAAUAUAAGAUACUACAUAGGUUUUAUUGAAGCCCAACAAGGCCUCAUGAGAUGUGACUGACCAACAGUUCUCUGUGUUGGAAAUGCCAAAAAGACACUGGGACAUUUUUACACGCAAUAUGGGAAUGUACAUUAGUGCUACCUUUCUGGAAGGAUGUUUUGAAAUAUCUGGAGGAAAGGUUGGAAAAGUUAGAACAGUUACCUAAUGUAACAAAUGAGGAAUUUGCACUGAUCACUGUUGGUAUGGUUACAGCAGCUAAAGUCAUCCUUAGAAUUUGGAAGGGUCAUGCCACUCCUACUCUGAAACAGUGGAUAGAAUCAAUGUUGGAGGUAGCGUCUUAUGAACGAAUGCUUGCUAGAAUCCCUGGUAUAAAUGACAAUACUAGAAGCUGGACGCGUUUUAUUUGUCAUGGUGUUUAUAAAGACUGGGAGGUGAUGACUUAGGUUUGUGAACCCAUUUAGUUUUGUACUGUAGCUUGUGAACCCAUUUAGAUCUGUACUGUAGCUUGUGAACCCAUUUAGAUCUGUACUGUAGCUUGUGAACCCAUUUAGAUCUGUACUGUAGCUUGUGAACCCAUUUAGUUUUGUACUGUAGCUUGUGAACCCAUUUAGUUUUGUACUGUAGCUUGUGAACCCAUUUAGAUCUGUACUGUAGCUUGUGAACCCAUUUAGAUCUGUACUGUAGCUUGUGUGUCUGCUAUGUUGGAGAAUAUGUCUUAAUGUCAAGCUCAAUGUUUUUAUGCUGUACAAUGUUUUAUUUAAAAAAAUGUUUGUUUGUUUGUAGGAAAAAGGAAAAAAUAAAUACAACUUUAAUAACAAAAAACCCCAGAAAUAUCACAUUUGCAUAAGUAUUCAGACCCUUUACUCAGUACUUUGUUGAACAACCUGUGUCAGCUUUUACAGCAUUGAGUCUUCUUGGGUAUGAUGCUACAAGCUUGUCACACCUGUAUUUGGGGAGUUUCUCCAAUUCUUCUCUGCAGAUCCUCUCAAGCUCUGUCAGGUUGGAUGGGGAGCGUUGCUGCACAGCUAUUAUCAGGUCUCUCCAGAGAUGUUCGAUCGGGUUCAAGUCCAGGCUCUGGCUGGGCCACACAAGGACAUUGAGACUUGUCCCGAAGCCAUUCCUGCAUUGUCUUGGCUGUGUGCCUAGGGUCAUUGUCCUGUUGGAAGGUGAACCUUUGCCCCAGUCUGAGAUCCUGAGUGCUCUGGAGCAGGUUUUCAUCAAGGAUCUCUCUGUACUUUGCUCCGUCAUCUUGGCCUCAAUCCUGACUAGUCUCCCAGUCCCUGAAAAACAUCCCCAAAGCAUGAUGCUGCCACCACCAUGCUUCACCGUAGGGAUGAAGCCAGGUUUCCUCCAGACGUGAUGCUUGGCAUUCAGGACAAAGAGUUCAAUCUUGGUUUCAUCACACCUGAGAAUCUUGUUUCUCAUGGUCUCAGUCUUUAGGUGCCAAGCGGGUUGUCAUUCUGUUUGGCCACUCU
rnacentral:lncRNA from 1 species